UUGCUCUUGCACACAUCAAUCCUCAUCUGCAAAAUCAAAAUAUCAGCUGCAAAAGCCUAAGCAUGGAAGAGUGUGAAAGAUGUGUUGGACUACUAAAAAGGUAAGGUAUGAUCUAAAUAGUUAAAUAAAUAGUUUUUCAAAUCUUAACUUAAAUCUAUUAAACAAAAUCCCUAGAUAAAUCUAAAUGAUUUGACUCUCCAAGACAUGUGUCAUGGAGUAUUGAAAAACAAACCCUAAAUUGCUAAUUCUACACGGGUAGGCAUGACUUAAAGCUUGUCAAGCUUUACAAGUUAAAAUUCUGGACAGACAAGAUCUGCCAAAAGGAAGAACAAUCACAUCUUCUUCUUCUUCUUUCUCCUAAUAGGGUUUAUUGGAAAGCAAACCCUAAAAGCCAACCAUUCAAAAGUUAAACACAAAAUUGGCUUUAUCUAAAUUCAGAACUGAGUGACAUCUAAAAAGAAAAUUUCUGUCUAAGAAGUGAUAGACAUCUAAAAGGAAAAGAUUUCUGUCUAGGAAAUAUUGAAAUGUUUGAAUCUUUUCAAGAUUCACCAAGCAACGUUUAGGAAAUCAAACCCUAAAGCUGCUGACCUUCAAAAGAUGUCUUCAUUACUUGUAACUCCACAAGUAAUAUCAGUCUAUAAAGAUUCUGGACAGACCAUUUAGAUAAGCUUGAGGUGAAUCAAUUCACUAUAUAAGCACAGGAAGAUAAACAACUAUAUCAUCUUCUUCCAUCUUAAGAUACUCCCAAGGAUGUUGAUUGAAGAAAUCAAUCCAGAGAAGAGGGAGCUCACAAUCAUACCAGACUGUCCUUCCAGUCCAGUAUACAACCCUAAUCCCUCAAGCAGCAAUGUCAUCCGGAAGAAACGCUCUAGGAGGAUUCCAGUGUCAGAAAUGUUCCGGGGAACACCAACUUGGGUCUCUUCAAUAGCUAAGUUCUCCUAUGAUCUCAUUCUCGAGCAAAGAAUGAUCUUUGAGGAACCUGUUCUACUCAGAUCUCUCAACUGCAGGGUGAUUGAAGGGCUACUGAACUUCAAUAGGCUUACUGACUAUCUUGAGAACAUAGGGCAACUAAGAAUCUACAAAUCUGAGUUGGCUCAGUUCUACGCGAAUCUCAAGUAUGAGACAGUAGGUUCUCAAGUGAUCACCACUAAAGUAAAUGGAAUAUCUCUCAUUCUAGGAGCUAAUAAACUUGGAGUAUGGAUAAACCUUCCCAACAAUGGAGUGAAGCUUCAAAAUUACAGAAGGCUGGAUGAGCUACCUUUCAAGUGCAGCUGGGAGAUUCUCUGGAAUACUCUCACUCACAGGUACAACCCUAAGAGCACUGAUAGAAUCCUAAAGACAAUGCUCAUACCAGAAGCUUCAAUUUUUCUGAAGAUCAUCUCAUACAACAUUUAUCCUCAAGUUGAAGAUAGAGAAGAACCAUCAACAUCGAUCUUAGUAGCAAUCUACUGUCUGCUGUCAAAGAUUAGAGUGAACUGGGUAUCACUAAUCAUGCACAAUAUGGCUACAUCAACCAAGAACACUGGAGCUCGCUACUACCCAAGGAUGAUUUCAAAAUUACUCAGUCCAGGGUACUUUGGAAUUCCACUCUAUCCUCAUCCUAUCAUAUCUCACAUCCAGCCAUUCACUGCAAGCUCUUUCCAAAAGACUUGGAGGAACACCUAUGAUCCAAACUCACCAAACACUAAUGUGUUUCUGAAUGAAGAAGUCAUAAGAGUUAGACAUCAAGUAAGGAUGCUGGAGAAAGGAAUGGGAGAUCUGGAAGAGAUGGUUUCUUUGACAAGGCAACAGCUAGAUGAUGAAAGGGAGUACAACCUGGAGCUUGCAACUCUAUUUCACGAGUUUAACUCCAAGGUCAUUCCAACCAUGCAUCACCAUGACUGAACUACUCUGUCCUAAAAAGAAGUUUGAUGUUUUGAGUUUGUAUUUUGUUUUAUUUUGAAGAUCUAGCCAUGGAUCUUGAUCUCAUGUGCUUGAGAUUGAACCAUAUGCUACUCUCUUAUGUUAUGUGUUUUCUUUGAAGUUAAAGAAGUUCUAUGAUUUUAAGUUUAUCAACAUAAGGGUAUGCAUGCAUAAAGAAAAACAUAAUGUUAGAAAUAUCUUUAGUUAAUACUUCAGGGCAUAAUUAAAAUUCUUUUGAAGUAUUAAUCGACUUGUUUAAAAGUCAUAAACUUUAAACUUCAAGGGAUUAAACAUAAAUUAUGUUUGAAGUCUCUAAGUUUAGAAUAAUUCACUGAAAGCUUAAGGAUUAAAGUGAGUAAAUAUAAAAUUCUAUGAAACUUCAAGGGCUUGAACAUAAAUUAUGUUUGAAGUUUCUAAGUUUAGAAUAAUUCACUGAAUACUUAAGGACUAAAGUGAUAUUUUCCAGUGAAUAUAGUUUUAUGAAACUUCAAGGGCUUAAACAUAAAUUAUGUAUGAAGUUCUUAAGUUUUAUGGAUUCACUGAAUACUUAAGGAUCAAAAAUAUAUUUUUCAGUGAAUAUAAACUUAGUUAAAACUUCAGGGACUUAAACGAAAAUCGUUUAUGAAGUUUUUAAGUUUUAAUGGAUUCACUGAAUACUUAAUUAAGGAUCAAAAAUAUAUUUUUCAGUGAAUAUAAAUUUAGUUAAAACUUCAGGGACUUAGAAUCAAUAUUUACAUGAAGUUUUAAUCAAAAAUUACUUAGAAAUAUUUAAUACUUCCAAGGUUUAAAAUGAAAUUUUUUAAGUAUUAAUCUAAGUAUUCAUUAUAACUUCAAAGGGAUUAAAUUAUCUAUGAAGUUAUUCAUUAAGGGUUCAAAGGAUAUUUUUACAGUGAACAUUUAGUUAAAACUUCAAGGACUUAAAAUUAAUAUUUACAUGAAGUUUUCAAUGCUUAGAAUUGGUUAAUACUUCCAAGGUAAUAUUUAAUACUUCCAAGGUGUAAAAUAAUAUUUUUAUAAGUAUUAAUCUAAGUAUUCAUCAUUUUAUUUUAAGUGAAGUUUUACUACUAAGACUUUAAGGACUAAAAUGAAAAUUUUAAAUCUUUUAAAACUUAGUGAAUAUUUACAUGAUUAUAUUUGUCACUAAGACAUAGAUUUUAAAAUUUUAAAUGCUCAAUUUCUCCUUAAAGCAAUUAGUGAAAAUUAUGGAUUUAUACAUAUCAUAUCUUAUGGAUUAUAACAUUAUAAAAUCUUUAAUCCAUACAUGUUAAGAUCAUCUUCAUCCAUAACACACACAUGGAUUAUUAUUCAUUGCAUGAUCUCAACACAAGGCAAUUUAAAUUAUCAUCAUACUUGCCUUAUAAUGUAUAUCAAAAUUGGCUUCAAUCCAAUAUUUUAUCAAUGAGCAUAAAUUACAUGUUAUUUCUCCUUUAUGAUUGACUAACACUCUUAUAAGCAAGACGUCACAUUUGGUCAACCACACAAAUCGAAUUUGUGAUUAAAGCUCAAUGAGGUAUGAAAUUUUAUUUUUCUCCACAAAUUAGAUAUGUCCUAUCAUUAAGGGGGAGAUACUUCACAGGUAUCUAUUUUUAACUUUGUCGAUACCUUAUUGUUUUAAGGGGGAGAAAUCAUGCAUGAUCCACUGCUUUUAAAUUAAAUAUUAUGGGUCAAUAAUUCAGGGGGAGCAUGCUCAUAAGGGUAAAAUAGAAUAUUGACUAGACAUGAGUUAAAACAUAUAUGCCAUCGACAAAGGGGGAGAAUGUAGAAUCAAAAUUGUCGACAUAGGAUUAUAUUUUAAUCAUGUCAAUUUAAACCCUAAUUACACUAUUAAUCAAUAGGGGUUAAAUAAGCCAAUCGAUAUUAAACCUAACUCUAGUUAAUUCAUUAAUCAUUAAUCAUUUGAGUUAAGGGUUUAAGUCAAAGUUAAAAGUCAAAGUGGGAGAAUUGCAUUUUCAUCUUGAAUAUUAUUAAUUGGGAGAAUUGCAUUUUCAUCUUGAAUAUUAUUAAUUGGGAGAAUUGCAUUUUCAUCUUGAAUAUUAUUAAUUGGGAGAAUUACAUUUUCAUCUUGAACUUGAAUAUUAUUAAUUGGGAGAAUUACAUUUUCAUCUUGAAUAUUAUUAAUUGGGAGAAUUGCACUUUCACCUUGAAUAUUAUUAUUUGGAAUAAUUGCAUUUUACCUUGCAUAUUAUUAUUAUUAUCUGGUGACACUUUAUUCAAGGUAUAAUAUUCCAAGGAGACAAAACACUAUUCAAGUUUGAAUUUACAAAGAUAAGAUUCUCCAACAAAGACAAGGAGACAAAACACUAUUCAAGUUUGAAUUUACAAAGAAAAAGAAUUCUCCUACAACGGUAAAAUUCUCUAUUCAAGUUUGAAUUUACAAAGAUUUGAAUUUCUCCAACAAAGACAAGGAGACACAACACUAUCCAAGGCAAACACUAUUCAAAGACAAAGUUUGGAUUUAUGUGAGAAAUCAAGGAGCCAUCCAUUGAAGAUCCAAGGAUGGACAUUGAGUGGCCAAGGCUAUAAAUAGAAGGGUAAUCCCCUCAUUUCCACUCACCACACCAUAAGAAAACUCAAGAGCUUCCACUCCACACUUAUCCACACGUUUUUGCCAUCAAGCUUCCAAGCUUCCAAGUGCUCAAGUGUCCUAGCUUUCCAAAGCUUCAAAAGCUCUCCAACUUCUUCUUCUAAUCUUCUUGGUCAUUUGUACAAGUAAGAAGUGUUGUUUGCUUUGAUAUUCCACUCCUCUAAUCACCUCUUGUGUGUGUCCACUUUGGUUGAGAGGGUUGUCUCAAUAGUACCAAAGUGUGAGGUAAGGUUUCCGAGCUCAACCAUAAAGCUCUGUUUGGUUUUAUAGAGUUUCCAGGAAAACUCUUAGGUGUGAGUCUACCUGUAAAAGACUGGUUCCUAAGCGAAGUAGCCUUAAAGCUUAGAGAGGUUCUUAAGAGUGUCCUUUAAUACUCUAAGGUGUAAGUCUACCCGUAAAAGACUGGUUCCUAAGCGUAGUAGCCUUAAAGCUUAGAAAGGUUUUUAAGAGUUCCUUGAAUACUCUAAGGUACUAACUUACCCGUAAAAGUUAGAGGUUCUUAAGAGUGCCCUAUAAUACUCUAAGGUGUGAGUCUACCCGUAAAAGACUGGUUCCUAAGCGUAGUAGCCUUAAAGCUUAGAAAGGUUUUNNNNNNNNNNNNNNNNNNNNNNNNNNNNNNNNNNNNNNNNNNNNNNNNNNNNNNNNNNNNNNNNNNNNNNNNNNNNNNNNNNNNNNNNNNNNNNNNNNNNNNNNUGGUUCCUAAGCGUAGUAGCCUUAAAGCUUAGAAAGGUUUUUAAGAGUUCCUUGAAUACUCUAAGGUACUAACUUACCCGUAAAAGUUAGAGGUUCUUAAGAGUGUCCUUUAAUACUCUAAGGUGUAAGUCUACCCGUAAAAGACUGGUUCCUAAGCGUAGUAGCCUUAAAGCUUAGAAAGGUUUUUAAGAGUUCCUUGAAUACUCUAAGGUACUAACUUACCCGUAAAAGUUAGAGGUUCUUAAGAGUGCCCUAUAAUACUCUAAGGUGUGAGUCUACCCGUAAAAGACUGGUUCCUAAGCGUAGUAGCCUUAAAGCUUAGAAAAGGUUUUGCCAUUACCUGUAGACGAGUGAAAUCCGGCAGUGGGUCGGGACUGGACUAGCCCGUGUUUGGGUGAACCAGUAUAAAUCUCUUGUGUUGUUUUCUGUUAAUUUUAGUUCUAUCUUUUGCUUAAAAACAAUACCUAAUUAAAAAGAUCCCUCUUCCAGUUAUCUGGUCAAGAACAGAGGUUGACUACUUUACGCAGAUCCCUCAUCCAGUUAUCUGGUCAACUAUCUGAGGUUACAUUCAUUGUUUUAAAUCUUUAUAUUUGUCCAACUAUUACUUAUCAUAUUUAUCCAGUUAUCUGGUCACUUACUUGUUUAUCAAAUUAUCCAGUUAUCUGGUCACUUAUUUACUUGUCAAUAUAUCCAGUUAUCUGGUCAUUUAUUUACGUAUCAAUUUGUCCAGUUAUCUGGUCAUUUACUCUACAAUACAAUUUGUGUUUUAAAUAUAACUUAGUAUUCAUAUACUAUAGUUGUGUUUGAAACAUUAUCAAGAAAGUUGACUCAGUAUUCAUAUACUGUAGUAAGCUUCACAGAGUAAUACUUAAAUUACUAUAUCAAUUAAAAUAAUAAUAUCCUUAUAUCAUUACUGUUCAACCAUUUGUUUAUUAAGUGUUUACAGGUAAUUCCGCUAUCAACCUGUAUAAAUCGAAAAGAGGCUAUCACCCCCCCUUAUAGCCUCGGAUCACGAUCCAACAAUAACUGGCAGCUAAGACAACUGGAUAUCAAAAAUGCCUUCCUAAAUGGCUUUCUAAAUGAAACAGUAUACAUGAGACAACCAACUGGGUUUCAUAAUAAGAAUUAUCCAAAUCAUGUGUGUCUAUUACAUAAGGCUCUAUAUGGCUUUAAGGCUCUAUAUGGCUUAAAACAAGCACCCAGAGCCUGGUACUCAAGACUUCAAAAUUUUUUAGUUGAAAACGAAUUCAAAAAUAGUCUUACAGAUUCCUCAUUGUUCCUCAAAGUGAACAAUGAACAUUGAAUCUACAUACUAGUCUAUGUAGAUGAUAUUAUAAUUACUGGGAAUUCUAGUGAGGAAAUAAAUAGGUGCAUAAAAUUAAUAUGUAAACAAUUUUCAUGUAGAGACCUAGGGCUUCUUAACUCUUUUUUAGGAAUGGAAUGUAUAAGACAAGGGAAAACCAUAAUUCUAAGUCAAGAAAAAUAUGUGUCUGAUAUAUUGAAAAAAUUCAAUAUGAUGGACUGCACACCAUGUAGGACACCAAUGGUUCAAAAUCCAAGACUAAAUAAAAAUUCAGGGACUCCUAUAGAAGACAAUACAAUAUACAGAAGCAUUAUAGGGUCCUUAUAAUAUCUAACUAUGACUAGGCUUGAUAUUGUCUUCUGUGUAAAUCAUCUUAGUCAGUUCCUACAAACACCAACUGAUGUACAUCUUAGUUUUGCUAAGAGGAUGCUAAGAUAUAUUAAGGGAUCUUCUAACCUAGGACUGAGAUUUACACCUUCAGUCAAACCAGUAAAUUCUUUGAUAGCCUACUGUGAUUCAGACUGGGCAAAUGAUACUGAUGAUAGGAGAUCAGUGUCUGGAUUCAGCAUCUGGUUUGCUGGAAAUUUGGUGGCCUGGGCAUCAAAGAAACAGGCAGUGGUAUCAAAAUCGAGCUGUGAGGCUGAAUACAGGGCACUAUUUGGGAUAACUUCAGAAGUUAAGUGGUUCUGUAAUUUGUUUAGGGAACUGGAGAUUAGGUUUGAGACAGCUCCACAAAUAUUAUGUGAUAAUAAAUCAGCAAUUUUUCUCACUAAAAAUCCAUCAUCAAACCUGAAAACUAGACAUAUAGACAUCUCACACCAUUUUAUUAGAGAGCUGGUGAUGAAAGGGGCAAUAAAAGUGGAUUAUAUUGCUGCUAGUCAACAACUAGCAGAUGGUUUCACUAAAGUACUGGGCACAGGGCAAUUCAUGGUUCACAGGGAUAGGCAUAAACCAAUUCAACCAGUCCUGAUCCUAGAAUCCUAAUGAAGGACAAGAGUAGGGUAACAAAAUCGCAGGAAAUAAGUAAACUAAAGCUAAUUAAGGAGGCUUAGGAGAAAUGAUCUGAGUGCUGAUAAUAGUUGUGCUUAGGAGAAAUGAUUUCUGUUACCUAUUGUAGGAAAACAUUGUCACUAGGAUAAUGUAAAUACUCAUCACUGGAAUGUUGGGAACAUAGCAGUUAGUAAUUUGAUUCGGGAGAAUCACCUAAGUAUGAUACUAGUAAAUAUCUUUAGUAUUAGUUUCUGCUCUAUGGGGUAAUAAGUCUGUACAAGUCAGGUUAUUACAAAUAGAGACUGUGAAAUAAAUAAAUCAUGAAUAAUAAACUAAUGACUAUAUAAGGGAGACUAUAAUACUGAGUAUUAGUUUAUAUAUAUAAUAAUAAUAAUAAUAAUAAUAAUAAUAAUAAUGAUGAUGAUGAAAAUACAAUUAGAUGUAUAUGAUUAUGAAUAACAUAUAUCUGAGGUGUUGUAUUUCUGAUUUCUGUUCUUAUAGUAAUACUUGUAUUCAUAUUAGGAAAUGUUAGAUAAAUAUGAUGUUGAGAAUUGCAGGGUGAUAAUCUGAAAUAUGUUCUAAAACUAUUUCUAGUUUGGUUUGAUACAUAAUUUUUUUUUUGUUAAGGAAUGGUCUAUAUUUUUCUGGUUUGAUUUGUGGGAAUGGCUACUGUGGAUGUAUGUUUGUGUGGUUGCAGGUCAUACUAAGAUAGGUCAUGCCCGAAUAGCUGGAAAUUUAAUCUGGAGCAGUAAAUGUAAAAUCUAGAGCAGUAGAAGCUUUGAGAAUGAGCAGCGAGUUUUUUUCUUCUUUUCCUUUCUUUCUUUCAGGGUCUUAAUUGGUAUAACAGGAGGGUUUUCCCAGUAAAAAUGAAAGAAAGAGGAGCAAAAAUAAGAAUCCCAGCUGGGUUUUUCGCCCCCCCUGUUAGCUCAAUUAAUUCAUAGCUGAGUUAGUUCACAAAGCUACUAAGGAGGUGGACAGACAAGUUGAUGAUCGUAAUCAUGUUCAAAUUGACAACUCAGUAUUGCAUUCUGGAGUUGUCAAUUUGCGGGGGAAUGUAAAGAGUUAAAAUACUAUAAAGGUUAUCUUAUAAAUGUACCCAUAAUAU
rnacentral:lncRNA from 1 species